rnacentral:rRNA from 1 species
UACGUAGGGGGCAAGCGUUGUCCGGAAUCAUUGGGCGUAAAGCGCGCGUAGGUGGCCCGGUAAGUCCGCUCUGAAAGUCAAAGGCUCAACCUUUGAAAGCGGGUGGAUACUGUCGGGCUAGAGUCCGGAAGAGGCGAGUGGAAUUCCUGGUGUAGCGGUGGAAUGCGCAGAUAUCAGGAGGAACACCAACGGCGAAGGCAGCUCGCUGGGACGGUACUGACACUGAGGCGCGAAAGCGUGGGGAGCGAACAGG